UACGUAGGGAGCAAGCGUUGUCCGGAAUCAUUGGGCGUAAAGGGCGCGUAGGCGGGUUCCCAAGUCGGUGGUGAAAUCUUUCGGCCCAACCGGAAAACAGCCGCCGAUACUGGGAGUCUUGAGGGAGGUAGGGGUCGAUGGAACUUCCGGUGGAGCGGUGAAAUGCGUAGAUAUCGGAAGGAACGCCGGUGGCGAAAGCGAAGUCGACUGGACCUUUUCUGACGCUGAGGCGCGAAAGCCAGGGGAGCAAACGGGG
rnacentral:rRNA from 1 species